rnacentral:rRNA from 1 species
UACAGAGGGUGCAAGCGUUGUUCGGAAUUAUUGGGCGUAAAGCGCGUGUAGGCGGUUUUCUAAGUCUGAUGUGAAAUCCCUUGGCUCAACCAAGGACGUGCAUUGGAUACUGGAUCACUAGAGGACGAGAGAGGUGAAUGGAAUUCCCGGUGUAGGGGUGAAAUCCGUAGAUAUCGGGAGGAACACCAGAGGCGAAGGCGGUUCACUGGCUCGUUACUGACGCUGAGACGCGAAAGCGUGGGGAGCAAACAGGAUUAGAUACCCUGGUAGUCCACGCCCUAAACGAUGGAUACUAGACGUUGGAGCUCUAAUCGCUUCAGUGUCGCAGCUAACGCAAUAAGUAUCCCGCCUGGAAGUACGGUCGCAAGAUUAAA